rnacentral:rRNA from 1 species
AUUGAAUGGCUCAGUGAGGCGUCCGGACUGGCCCAGAGAGGUGGGCAACUACCACUCAGGGCCGGAAAGCUCUCCAAACUCGGUCAUUUAGAGGAAGUAAAAGUCGUAACAAGGUCUCCGUUGGUGAACCAGCGGAGGGAUCAUU